GACAGAGGGUGCAAACGUUGUUCGGAAUUACUGGGCGUAAAGCGCAUGUAGGCGGCCAAGCAGGUCGGAUGUGAAAUCCCUCGGCUCAACCAAGGAAGUGCAUUCGAAACCGCAUGGCUGGAGUCCCGGAGAGGGUAGUGGAAUUCUCGGUGUAGAGGUGAAAUUCGUAGAUAUCGAGAGGAACACCGGCGCGAAAGCGGCUACCUGGACGAGGACUGACGCUGA
rnacentral:rRNA from 1 species